rnacentral:rRNA from 1 species
GACGAACGCUGGCGGCGUGCCUAAUACAUGCAAGUCGAACGCAGUGGGGACGGGUGAGUAACACGUGGGUAACCUCCCAUCAGAGGGGAUAACACUUGGAAACAGGUGCUAAACCGAUACUGAUGGAUGGACCCGCGGGGCAUUAGCUAGUUGGUGAGGUAACGGCUCACCAAGGACACGAUGCAUAGCCGACCUGAGAGGGUGAUCGGCCACACUAGGACGGAGACACGGCCCAGGCACCUACGGGAGGCGACAGUAGGGAAUCUUCGGCAAUGGACGAAAGUCUGACCGAGUAACGCCGCGUGAGGGGAGAAGGUUUUCGGAUCGUAAAACUCUGUUGUUAAAGAAGCGGUAUCUAACCAGAAAGCCACGGCUAAAUACGUGCCAGCAGCCGCGGUAAUUC